GAAACACAAGUGUGGACAUGCCUUACAUAAAACUUGCUGUUAACAGGGAAGUCAAAGGAUGUUUGGCUGGGCAAACAACUGCUCUACACGAUUUGCCUAAUUUUCUAGGUCAUUCUGUAUGAAGUGAGUCUUUCAAACCCAGCUUCUCUAACAACUUCACAGUUGUGUGCUCAGGAGGCUCCCGGGUAUGCCGUCUGUCUGCAGGCCAAGCAGCAUGAUGCUUUCGAGGAAAAGUGCCCUUCCUGUCUGGGAAAUUUUGAACGACAUGUAUUGUAACAUAGAAGACAGAGGAACUGGAGAUCUGCAAAAGUGUGAGGCAAUAGUUGAACAAGACAAAGAACAUGAUGCUGCAUCUUUGCAAUUGGUAUUAUUUCAUGAAUGUGACAUAGCGCAACUGUCAUGUAAAGUAGCUACAGAUAACCACAACAACACACCAGCUAUGUCCCUGGUCUUACGAGUUUCUUCAUCAAAUCAUCGUGUAAUGAGGCAGGAGAAGCUGUACCAUCUGCAGCUUUCAGAAGGAUGAAUAUAGAGAAUAUUAAUGUUAGUCUUGCAGUGGAAAGACACAGAUGGACAUUCAUCAUGACAGACCAGUACAACAUUGCCAAAGCAAGUGAGUGCACUGCUUCUGAUAACAAUGCUGACAAUUGUAUGUGAGUCCCUGCAAAUCUGUACAAAGAACUGAGACACACCAAGGGCUCACUGAGAUUUUAAGUCAUUGGUAGGUGAGCUGGGGGUGGGGGGGAACUACACAUUACAAUUUUGAAUAAUAUGUCAUUUCUGGUGCUGCCUUGGGCUACAAAAGGAAUGUGCAUAGAUGGUCUUAAACUUUUAAGAAACUCAGACUUGAUAAGGCAGGAAUUUUCCUGGCAACAGGCACUCUGUUCUCCAGCGACUGAAUUGGGUAGUAAAAUGUCUCUUUGUUAACCAGUUCUAAAUAUGAGAAACCUUUGUAUGCCCUGCUUCUGGGUCCAGCUCUAAGCAGGGGCUGCAGAUGUGCAGGAGACUUUCUAUAUUAUGUGCUGUAGCAGGUGCUUUCCAUUCUUUACCUCUUAGAACGUUCCCUCAUGCUAAGAUGUUACAUGGUCUAUAUAUUAACAGAAAAGCUGUAUUUCAUACCCAGCACCCAAUUUACUCAUAUUCUGGAGGGUUAGAUAAAGACCUUUAAUUCAGAUUAGACAGGAGUGUUUGAGGGCAGGAGAAGACUAUAUGGUCCACAAAAAACUGUUUCUGUAAAGCUUCACAAUUAAUCAGCCCCUUCUACGUUGUUCAAAUCUCAUUAGUGAUGGCACCUUUCUGACCCCUUUUCCUGGAAAAGUGUAUCCAGCCAUUCUGUAAGCACUCUUUUUCUGUAUCUGUGGCUGACUUUGAAUAUGUGUUUUGCUCUAUAGCCUUUUUUUUUUUUUUUUUUUUAAUAGACAGUCUGUCUGCACAUCAUAACAUGUUUGCUACCAGGAUAGGAGUGUGUCAGGCUAUGACCCCUUGCUGACAAAUUAGAUACUAUCAUAAACAGCUUACUUCAUCAGUCUGUUGCCCUCUUUCUCAUAGGACUUCUUUGCCUCUCACAGUCCCUUUAUUCUCUAAGCUAGAAGAUAAAGGGAAAUAGGCAAAUCUUUUUGAAUCACGUUCUCUGAACUCAUCACUAGUGGUUUCCACCUUACCAAUCCUUCCCCAGUGAACAAAGGUGGGGAGCUGAACACCACUUUGCUAAUAUUCUUUAUGAUCUUAUCAAACCUUGUGACAAGAUAACUAAUACUGUGUUAUCUCACACAUCCAUGUUAUAUAUUGCAUGUCAAAAAUAAAGUUAAGAUAGCUUGAAAAGUCUAAAUUGAA
rnacentral:lncRNA from 1 species